CUACGGGAGGCACCAGUAAGGAAUAUUGGUCAAUGGACGCAAGUCUGAACCAGCCAUGCCGCGUGAAGGAUUAAGGUCCUCUGGAUUGUAAACUUCUUUUAUUUGGGACGAAAAAGGGUCUUUCUAGACCAACUGACGGUACCAGAUGAAUAAGCACCGGCUAACUCCGUGCCAGCAGCCGCGGUAAUACGGAGGGUGCAAGCGUUAUCCGGAUUCACUGGGUUUAAAGGGUGCGUAGGCGGGUAGGUAAGUCAGUGGUGAAAUCCUAGAGCUUAACUCUAGAACUGCCAUUGAUACUAUCUAUCUUGAAUAUUGUGGAGGUAAGCGGAAUAUGUCAUGUAGCGGUGAAAUGCUUAGAUAUGACAUAGAACACCUAUUGCGAAGGCAGCUUACUACGCAUAUAUUGACGCUGAGGCACGAAAGCGUGGGGAUCAAACAGGAUUAGAUACCCUUGUAGUC
rnacentral:rRNA from 1 species